AGGUCUCGCAGCCAGCUGCGAGACUUGGUGUGGAUUGCAGGACACACUGAGCACUUACUCUUUGAACGCACAUUGCGGCAUCGGACCUUCCCGUGGCUUCGUCUGUGUGAGGGUUA
rnacentral:rRNA from 1 species